rnacentral:lncRNA from 1 species
AUCCUGAGUCGUUUACCCUCUCUGGUAUCAGGGCUAGCAAGAUCUUCCUUCCCUUGGCUUUCACUUCUCUGUACUAUGAGAAGCCAUAGGAUGGAACAAUUUUACCUAGCUCUUGAUACUUUCCUAGGAACCUGACUUUGGGUCCAGAGCUCAGCUCAAGAACAGGCGGUGGUAAAGGCAGGAGUCUGCAGGCCUGGGGAACCAUGACUCCAUCCAGAACCCACUUCGCACUCGUUCUCCUCCAUGGAGACUGCCUUAGUCAGGGGCUGGUCCUCUCUGUCCAUCACCUGGCCCUACCACUCUGCUGGACUUCUCUGAGCCUGUGCUCAUGUGUAAAGGUUGAGUGUUAGCAAGAGUGACCACCUUCCUCUUUCAAAAUAAGUGAAGAGUGGGGCUGGUGUGUAAAGGCACACUCUACACAAGCCUGAGGACAUGAGCUUGAUUCCUGGAACCUCGGGGCGACAAGGAGAGAACUGAUUCCUUGGACAACCAUUCAUACUCACGUAGGGACACAGUAAUAAAUAAAAUUUUUUAAAAGGCCGGGAAGUGGUGGUGCAUGCUUUUAAUCCUAGCACUUGGGAGGCAGAGGCAGGUGGAUUUCUGAGUUUGAAGCCAGCCUGGUCUACAGAGUGAGUUCCAGGACAGCUAGGGCUACACAGAGAAACCCUAUAGAUAAGAGAAAUGUAGAUAGGAUUUUCCUUAUAUCUGAAAUUCUUAGGGCCAUAAGUAUUCAGACUUUGAGGAGAGGGUUGUUUGAGAUGAAUUUAUUUUCCCCAAAAUUUUUAUAUUAUUUCUGUGUGUAUGUGUAUUUUGCCAGCAUGUAUGUCUGGGUCACAUGUGUGCCUGGAGCCUGUGGAGGACAGAAGAGGUCAUAAGAUCCCCUGGAACUGGAGUUAUAGACAAUUGUGAGCUGCUACGUUGGUGUUGGGAUUGAACCCAGGUCCUCUGGAAGAGCAGCCAAUGUUCUUUACUUUUUUUUUUUUUUUUGAGACAGGGUUUCUCUGUGUAGCCCUGGCUGUCCUGGAACUUACUUUGUAGACCAGGCUGGCCUCGAACUCAGAAAUCCGCCUGCCUCUACCUCCCAAGUGCUGGGAUUAAAGGCGUGCGCCACCACACCCGGCACAGCAGCCAAUGUUCUUAACUGCUGAGCCAUAUCUCUAGCCUCUUAAGAUAGAUUCUUGUCCCAUAACUCAGGCUGCCCUUGAACUCACAAGCCUUCUACCUUAGCAUCCCCACUUCUGAGAUUACAGGCAUUGUGCCUGGCUCCAGACAUUAUAAUGUGGAAUAUUAUUGCCACCAGUCGAACAUCUCUAAUCUAAAACUUUUUGUUUUUAUUUCAUGUACAUUGGUGGUUUUGCCUACCUGUGUACGAGGGUGUAAGAUCUCCUAGAACUGUAGUUACAGAUAGCAUCGAUCUGUCUGCCGUGUGGGUGCUGGGAAUUGAACCUGGCUUCUCUGAAAGACCAGCCAAUGCUCUUAACCUCUAGUCAUCUCUCCAGCUUCCCCCCGGCCCCCUUUAUCAGAUUUCAAAAUUGGGAAUCCUCAACCUGUCUUCUGGUUUUUUGUUUGUUUGGCUUUUUGUUUUGUUUUUGUUUUGUUUUUCAAGACAGGGUUUCUCUGUGCAGUCCUGGCCAUCCUGGAACACACUCUGUAGACCAGGCUGGCCUCGAACUCAGAAAUUCACCUGCCCCUGCCUCCCGAGUGCUGGGAUUAAAGGCGUGUGCUACCACACCCGGCUCUGUCUUCUGGUUUUAUUCAACUGGGGGCUGUUGAAUUUGCCAGACAUCAGGAAUCCUGUGUGCCUGAUACCCCAGAGAAGACUGAUAUAUCAGUCCAUCUAUUCCUUGUUUUUAUAGAUGCAACUCCUUAGAACCCCAUUUAAUCUUUGGGGCUCAUUUGUAACUACUUCCAGAGACUGCAGAAAGCUUCCCUUGUCUAACCGAAGACUAGCCACAUCUUCUAGUCCAACAGCCCCAAAGGGAAUGUAGGCCCCUGUCCAUCUAGUGCACGUGUAUCUUCCAUUAUAAACACUCACAAGGAGUGCUAAAAAGCACAGCGUCAGGCUGCCAAGGAUGUGGGAUGUUUAGGGAAAUGGCUUUUUUCUCCUCCUCUACUCCAGACAUCUGGGGUGGUGGCAGUGAUGGUGUUCCCUGUCACUGCUGUAUUAACUGCCUUCAUUGACAGUGCAUAGUGACACACACCUGGACUCCAAGAACUCAGAAAGCUGAGGCAGGAGGGACAUGAGUUCAAGGUCAGCCUGGCCACUAUGUGGUUGCUAGGAAUUGAACUCAGGACCUCUGGAAGAGCAGUCAGUGCUCUUAACCGCUAAGCCAUAUCUCCAGCCCUGUAACCUUGUUAUUAAGGUCUGAAUGAAUUGGAUUUCCAUAACCAAUAACUUCAUAAAGAUCCCUUUUCCCUUCCUGCCUAAUUCCCCUUGGAUAAAUAGCUGGGUGACUUCAUUUCUGUAUGAAAGUAUUUGGAUG